UCGACAACAGAAUGGCUUUCUAUAAAACCGAAAGAAACUGUUUAUAAUGAUAAUAAAAAAUAUGUUAUUUUAAAACCUAAAUAGACAGACUUGUUUGCAACAAAACUUUGGGAAAAUUUAAGAAUUUCUUGUGUUUGGUCAUUUACAUAAGUAUGCUGUUUAGUAUAAUAGCCUUACUGUACCGACCAAAUUUCUAGGAAGGCGCGCGCUAUACUCUUUUCCCUAAAAGGAUAAAAAUCUAGUGCAUUAGUCGCUCGACAGGGCGCGUUUGCCGCGCUUAUCAUGCGUUGCAUCAUCGCGAUGUAUUUCAGAACUCGAUCACCUCUCGCACGAGCUGCAUCAUCUUAACGAAAUCACUAGAAAUAUUCCGUGCGUAAAAUUGAAAGUUUAGAGAAGUCCAGCAUUCUCGCCCACGCACCCAACGCGACACAUUCCUUCCGCGGGACAACGUGGUUUUGUGACCGGCGUUCUCCAUGAACGCACGUACGGUAACGUACAAAAACAUAUGCUAAAGGAUCUAUUAGAAAAAAAUGCAUCCAUUAAAUUAAAAAGGAAAAUGUAAAGAGUGUGGUGCAAGAAUAAUCAGCUUAAUUGGAAAUUAUUCAGUUAAAAACAAAAAUAUUCUGUCAGAAAAAACAAUAAAAGACUACAAGUCCGAUUUUAUCCAUACAACGAGGCGACAAUUGAUAGGAAAGCGAAGAUUAGAUAUAGCAGGCAAUCUUUGACACAAAAACGGACGCAAUUACCUACAUAUGUAUGAAAUGAAGCAAAAACUUUAAUUCGAUUUAGCGAUCCUUAUCCUCCUAUUCUACCAAACACUGAUGUUCUACGUAAAACAAAAAGUGAAACGCAAGAAAAACGUUUGAGUAUCACAGGAUUGUUACCAAUAAGUAACAUAGUUGACACGGAAAAUACGACACACAUAGGAAGAAUCAUAAAAAAGUUGGAUCAUCGGCAUUCUUCUAUCAUUAUUGGACGAAGGAGCAAAAAUUGCUUUACAAGUUAAACUUGAAAUUUGAUGAGUUAUGACAAUUCAUGACAAUUGACGCUACAGAACCAAUAGUAAAAAAAUACGAUAUAAACAUAUAAAAUCAAUGCACGUAUUUUUAUAUUAAUGUAUGAGCGUGUUGUCUGCAGGAAGUGUAUCUGUUUUCCAAAUGUUAUUUGCCGAUUAUACUGCAACUGCAAUAACAACUCAGCUUUCGACGAUUUUAAGUGAUAAUGUCGCGAUUUCUAAAAUAAUUAUUUACAAUUUUAGUACGGCUUUGUUGAUGUCUAUCGCAAUUGCACGUGGAAAGAAAGCUGAUGUAAAAGAUUAUAUUAAUAAACACUUGCUAUUAUAUUAUAAUGAACCAAAAAGAAACACUCCCUGUAACUUAUAAUAUAUUUGUAGAGACGCUGGUCUUCCAGUGGCAAUAGUAUGUAUAUGGAUGGCGAAACAUUAAAUACGUAUUGAAGUUGCUGAAAAUGUAAAACAUUUAAUAUACUAUCUUCUUCUGUGUACUGGUAUUAUGAUAUGGCAUUUGGCAUAAGAAAUUGCGUUGCAACGUCUUCCAUCAGCGUUGAAACGGAAUUUGCUAAUAUUAAAAUACGAGCUUUUAAAAAUUGCCUCAAAGAGUCGAUAAAUUCAUUUUAUCGUCACGUCAUUGAUCGCGUUAAAGAAGCCUCAGCAAAAUCUACCUUUUCAAAAACUGAAUCAGUUAGAAAAAAAAUAAAAGCCAUUUUAAAGGAACCUGCGAACGAGAAUAUCGAUGUAACUACUAAAAUUAAUGAUAACACCAGUGUAUCACAAAACAACUCUUCAGUUGAUCUUUCGUCGAGUAAGGUUGAGGUUUUCGAUAUAAGAUAAUAGUAGAGAAAAUACAAAAAAAUAUAUACUUCAUGAAAACAUGAAGAUAAAUAAUGCAAUAAGUUAUGAAAACUUAGAAAAGUAAGCGAACGAAUUCGAUUGUAAUGAUAUACAAGAUGUCAAUAUGGAAAAUAUAAAUGAUGCAAAUAUAAAAAUGAGCAAAGCAAUAAAUAAAAGCUUACAAGAAGCCGUAAGCAAAUCCCAUUUUAGUGAUGUACAAGACGUCAGUAUGGAAAAGAUAAACGUGUUUGAAGAAAAUCUAAAAAUAAAUAAAGCGAUAAAUGAUAAAAGUUUAGAAGAUGCAAAUGAAUUCGAUUUAGAGUAAAAAAAUUCUCUUAAAGUAAAUAAAAAUUGGGGCGAAAAAAUUACACCAAAUAAAAAAAGAGAACAUCCAACUUAUAUGAAUUCUUUUUCAGACUGGAAUUUUGUACAAUCACAUAAAUUCAUGGAUGUACCAAUAUUAAGAAAUGGCAAGAUGUGCGAGAGCCUUUAAUUUAAAAAUAAAUAUGUAUGUGUAAAAAAA